AUUGAACGCUGGCGGCAGGCCUAACACAUGCAAGUCGAGCGAGCGUCGGACGGGGGCGUAAUGUAUGUGGGUAUGCCCGAGAGGGGGGGGGAACAACUGGCAACGCUGGCUAAUACCGCAUACUGUCGGGUGAGCCCAUAUGGGGUUAGCUAGUAGGGAAGGUAAUGGCGGACCAAGGCGACGAUCCCUAGCUGGUCUGAGAGGAUGCUCAGCCACACUGGAACUGAGACACGGCCCAGACUCCUACGGGAGGCAGCAGUGGGGAAUAUUGCACAAGGGGCGCAAGCCUGAUGCAGCCAUGCCGCGUGUAUGAAGAAGGCCCUAGGGUUGUAAAGUACGUUCAGUCGGGAGGCGUUACCGACAGAAGAAGCACCGGCUAACUCCGUGCCAGCAGCCGCGGUAAUAC
rnacentral:rRNA from 1 species